UGAAAGUAUGUUGACUUGUCUACACUUGCACUUUCUUGUGUAAUAGCCUAUAUUACUGUGCAUUAAAGUGUUACAUAAAAAAUGUCCAAUUACACUAAUGCA